ensembl:misc_RNA Metazoa_SRP Metazoan signal recognition particle RNA
GCCGGGUGUGGUGGUGCGUGCCUGUAAUCCCAGCUACUCGGGAGGCUGAGCCAGGAGAAUCACUUGAACCCAGGAGACGGAGGUUGCAGUGAGCCGAGAUCACGCCACUGUACUCCAGCCUGGGCAACAGAGUGAGACUCUGUCUCUA